CUCGACCUGGUCAACUCAGGACGUGUACAGCUUGAAUUCAGCUGGACCUCAGAAGAUACUGCAAAAGCAGUCAGCUUCGUGACGCCAGGAGUGCAAGGUUCUGCUCUAAAAGAUCAGCUUAGUCAGGGCACGGGCAGCACCCCGGACAGUGGAAUGGACCACUGGAACGAAGCUUGCCCCUCGGCCUUCUCUGUGGAGCCCUCCUCCGGCAUCGUGCCCGUGGGAAAGACUCAGAAGCUCAAAGUGAAAUUCUCCCCACUGGACAUUGGAGAGUUCGAAAGCAACCUUUUCUGCCAGAUUCCCAACCUGCCACCUGGAGAGCAAGCUCCAGUCCUGGUAGCAAAAGGACGGAGCUUCUUGCCCCUCUGCCAUUUUGACCUGAAAGAUUCGGACUAUAUCACUGGUUAUCGGCGCAACGCAGAGCUCCGAGGGAAUGAUUCAGGACCCCUGGACGCAAACACCCGGGUGAUUGAGUUCACCAGUGUGGGCGUAGGAGAAAAGAAUCUCCAGACCUUUACCAUCCUGAACCCAACCAAUAGUGCCUACUCCUUCCGCUGGAUGUCCGAAGAAACUGAAAGUCUCCAGAACCCUCCAGCCUUCACAUGCCUCACAGAGAAGGGCUGCAUCCACCCUGAAAAGAAAGCUGAGAUUGUGUUCCAGUUCACACCUUCCCAUCUGGACAUCACAGAAGCAUUCUGGACCUUCUUAAUCCCUGAACACAAUAUCUCAGUCCCUUUCCUUCUGGUGGGCAAAGCCAUUGACCCUCUCAUCUCUCUGGACAAGUCACACAUCAACUUCAGUUCUCUCCUCAUUGGCAGAGAAGCCCGGGAGACUGUGCAGAUCAUCAACAAGGAGGACCUGGGCUUCAACUUUGCCUUUCAGGACAACUCCCGAUAUUCUGAAGGCUUCAGCAAUAGCCUGGUGGUUUGUCCCAUGGAAGGCUGGAUUCCACCACUGUCCAGGGUAUCAGUUGAUAUUUUCUUCACACCAAAGCAUGAAGGAGAUGUGAACUUUAAUUUGAUCUGCAAUGUGAACAAGAAAGUUCACCCUCUGACAUUAAAUGUCAAAGCUGAGGGGUACACUGUGAAUGCAGAGGUCAAGUGCAAGGACAGGAUUGGCUCCGUCACUCUCUUGACACCCAACCAGACCAACAUCAUCAACUUCUAUGAGGCAGAAUUAAAUGAAUGUGUCCAGUGUGAAUUCAGUUUUACCAAUGCUGGGAAGUUCAACUUCAACUUCCAGGGAGAGCUUGCUGGGCCCAAAACCCUAUUGAAGUACUUUGAAUUUUCACCUACCAACGGCACUGUGAAUGUGGGGCAGAGUGAACACGCCACCCUGUCUUUCCACCCAAAUCAGAAGUGUGUCUUGAAUGGCCUGGAACUCAUAAUUAAGAUCAUCCAUGGCCCGACAUUUAUAUGUAGCAUCUCAGGCUGUGCUGUGAGUCCAGUCAUCCAUUUCUCCUUUACCAGCUACAACUUUGGGACUUGCUUCAUCUACCAAGCUGGGAUGCCCCCAUACAAACAAACCCUGGUUGUCACCAACAGGGAAGAAACAUCCAUGAGCAUAGACUGUUUGUACACCAACACCCCCCACCUGGAGGUGAACUUCCGUGUGGAUGUGGUGAAGCCAGGAAAUUCUCUGGAGAUUCCAAUUAUCUUUUAUCCUCGAGAAACUAUCAGCUAUCAAGAACUCAUCCCCUUCGAGAUCAAUGGGCUCUCCCAGCAAAUUGUGGAAAUCAAAGGGAAAGGCACUGAAAUGAAGAUUUCAGUCCUAGAUCCAGCCAACAGGAUUGUGAAGUUAGGAGCUGUCUCACCAGGAAACGUCGUGACGAAAAUGGUUUCCAUCAAGAACAACAGCCUUGCCCAGCUCACAUUUAACCAGUCAGUCCUGUUCUCUGUUCCAGAACUCCAGGAACCCAAGGUCAUCACCUUGGAGCCCUUCCAGAACAUCACUCUGAAGCCCAAAGAAGUCUGUAAAGUGGAAGUCACCUUUGCCCCAAAGAAGCGUGUCCCUGCCUUCUCCGAAGAAGUGUUCAUGGAAUGCAUGGGACUCCUGCGCCCCCUCUUCCUCAUCAACGGGUGCUGCCAGGCCCUGGAGAUCUCCCUGGACCAGGAACAUGUUGCCUUCGGACCAGUUGUGUAUCAGACUCAAGCCACCCGCCGCAUCCUCAUGUUGAACUCUGGUGAUGUGGGGGCAAGGUUUAAAUGGGACACCAAAAAAACUGAGCCUCAUUUCAACAUCACCCCAGAAGAAGGCUAUAUCACCUCAGGCAUGGAAGUCUCUUUCGAAGUGACCUACCAUCCCACAGAGGUGGGAAAGGAGAGUCUCUGUAAAAACGUGCCUUGCUUCAUCCAGGGAGGUAAUUCUCUGUGCCUCACCCUGUCUGGAGUCUGCGUAGGACCACCUGCAGUAAAAGAGGUGGUGAACUUCAACUGCCAGGUUCGCUCCAAGCACACACAGACCAUCCUGCUGUCAAACCGCACCAACCAGACCUGGAAUCUGCGCCCUAUCUUUGAGGGUGAGCACUGGGAGGGGCCCGAGUUCGUCACCCUGGAGGCCCAUCAGCAGAACAAGCCCUAUGAGAUCACCUACCGGCCCCGCACCAUGAACGUAGAGAAUCGCAAGCACCAGGGCACUCUCUUCUUUCCCCUCCCCGAUGGGACUGGCUGGCUGUAUGCUUUGCAUGGGACUUCUGACGUCCCCAAAGCUGUAGCCAAUAUCAGCCGUGAAGUGCCAUGUAAGACCCCCUACACUGAGCUCCUGCCAGUCACCAACUGGCUGAACAAGCCCCAGAGAUUCCGGGUCAUUGUGGAAAUGCUGAAACCAGAGAAGCCAGACCUCAGUGUCACUAUGAAGGGCCUUGAUUACAUCGACGUACUCUCUGGCUCCAAGAAGGACUACAAGCUCAACUUCUUCUCCCACAGAGAGGGGCUGUACAAUGCAAAGGUGAUCUUCAGAAAUGAGUCCACCAAUGAGUUCUUGUACUAUAUAGUGAGUUUCAAGGUCAUCCCUUCAGGCGUCAUCAAAACCAUCGACAUGACUAGCUUGGUCCGGCAGAGUACGUCAGCCUCCAUCAAGGUGGAAAACCCCCUGCCCUACUCGGUGACCUUCUCCACCGACUGCAGGGUGCCGGACAUCAUCCUGCCCUCCCAGUUUAUCGUGCCUGCCAACUCUGAGGGCACGUUUUCAUUCGAAUUCCAGCCCCUGAAAGCUGGAGAAACCAUUGGAAGACUAACUUUGCACCACUAUGAUCUGGGCUACUAUCAAUAUGAGCUCAAUUUGAAGGCCGUGCCAGCACCUCCUGAAAAACCUGUCUAUUUCCAGACUGUUCUUGGCAGCAAUCAAAGCAUGUUCGUGAAGUUCACCAACUAUACCCGGCUGAAAACAGAGUACUUCUGCAGGACAGACUGUUCCGACUUCCACACAGAGAGAGUUAUCACCGCACCUCCAGGAGCCCAGGGGGGCACUGAUGUCAACGUGGAAGUCUUCUUUGAGCCCAGCCACCUGGGUGAGACCAAGUGCACCCUGAUGCUGACAUCACUUAUGGGCGGGGAAUAUACCAUCCCCCUCUUUGGAAAGGCCCUGUACCCCAAGCCCCAAGGCCCCUUCCUGAUCCGAGCUGGCUACAGCAUAAUCAUCCCCUUCAAGAAUGUCUUCUUCCACACGGUGUUCUUCUCCUACUCCCUGGACAGCCCAGCCUUCCUCGUCCGGGCUCUGGAUUCUGUGCGGCCCAAGAAGAUCAACAACAUCACAGUUUUCUUUGAAGGAAACCCAUCAGGCAGCAAAAUCCCCAUCACCACCAAGCUCACUGUGACUUGCCCUCCCAGCGAAGGCAAUGAAACUGGAAUUAAAUGGGUCUAUUAUCUGAAGGGGAUCACCCCUUAGUGACAGCCAGGAUUCCCGGCAUCAACCAAAAGCUAUCUUCUCAGCCUGAAGAGUCACGCAUUAUUCUAGCAUAAUACAAAAAAGAGAAAAAAUAGGAACUCUGAAGAGAUUAUUUUCUUCAUUUAAUUAUAGGGGCAGUUAUUUCUGUAUCUUAUGUUUCCCAAAUAUAGACAUGAAAUAUAUAUUCCAUAUUAAACUCUAUAGCCAUAUACUUGAAAUAAGUAAAUCCUUGCAAUUUCCUGAAUUUUGUCUCUUGGCAUGUCCCACAGCUUAAACACUGUGUAAUGAUCUCUCUUUUAACAAGAAGACAUAGUGUCACACUCACGACCUUCUCCACAUAGCACUUGGAAACAUCUGGCACCAGGGCACUGCAGUUUCUUCUUCAAACAUAAAGGUCUAUAGAUUUGACUCUAUUCUGAUGUGAUAAUUUAUUCUGCUUUCACAU
rnacentral:lncRNA from 1 species